AACCGCACGGAAAAAUCCAUCUUCCCGUGCGGUUAGGUUAGGUGGACCGCACGAGAUAAUCGAUUAUCCCGUGCGGUC
rnacentral:pre_miRNA from 11 species